AUUUAACUGUUCAUUUGCUUUUUAACUCCAGUGCCUUAGGACUGGCCUAGCUUGAAGCCUGGUGGGUCUUUGGGAAAACAGGCAAUAAAGCAUAUGAUCCUGGAAGAAGUGCUUCCUAUGGCCAUGAGCGUUGUGCUCUGGGAACCCUAGCUUCAAUCAGUGCCUUUCAAGGACCUGCCCAUCAGUCUGAACUGAUGCUGAACUGGGCUGAAUGAUUCCCUUUUCCACUCUCUGGUUUUCCCAUCUACAAACCUGAAUAAAGAUGCCUUAUGUGUUAAAC